rnacentral:lncRNA from 1 species
GCCGACGAUUUGUAUUGGACACGGUUAAUGAUUUACCGUGUCCAAUACAACUAGCCAGCCUUAGCCCUUUUUUUGGUGCCAAAAACCAAAUCAAAAUACAUUUCACAACAUCAGCAUAUUUUUGGAGCAAAAAAUAAAAUCAAUACACAUCAUAACAUCACAACACAAUAAUACAAUACAGGUACCUAAACGCAACAGUACAAUACAACAUCAUAGCAUCACAACACAACAGUACAAUAUAACAUCACUACCAAUAGAAUCUCAAUAAAUUAUCAAUACCAGAAAAUCACAACAGAAUAUUCAAAAUUAAAGCAAGUUUUAUAAUAAUAUAGAAAUAUAAUAUUACAUUUUCCUCCUACCCCCUCGACCACGUCGCCUACCACGUUCGCGACCACGAUCAACACCAUACUCAUUAAAAGGCUCUAAGAUCUCCAACUGGUCCAGAUGCUCGAUAGCAGCACCCUCAAUAACCGGCUCAAUCACAACAGUAGUAGGUGUCGGUAGUAUGUCUGGCCGUGGAGAAGCUGAAGAGGAGGGCUGAUCUGUACGGAUAGACCUCAUAUGUCGUCGGCGCUUAUAAUAAACAAUAUCAACUGCUC